rnacentral:lncRNA from 1 species
GGGGAUCUCGAAGUUAAAAAAAAAAAGAUCUACUGUCAAAACUUAAGAUUACCACGGGCAUAUUUGCAGCAAGAUUGCCUUCCGCAGACUCUUGAGUCAUAAAACAUCUGUCUCAAACUGGAAGGCUGGGGAUGCCUGCAGGCACAUCUGGCCUAGCCUGCCGCCUUCUGCCUGGAUUGUCCACAAAAACCUCCGGACCCGCCAUGUGGCCCUCUGUGCAGAGGCCAAGAAGCGAGGAUGCAAACAGGUGUGGCUGCCUGCAGCUUGGUCAGGAAUGCCCCUCCACCCAGAACGGAGCUGGCGUGGGGCUUCCCCCAACCAUGAACCUUUUCCCUUCCCUCCCGUUGCCAGAAACCUCAGGUGGCCUGGCCUGAUGGAGGAAUGAACUUAGGAGAGAUCCCCCUUGGUUCCAGGACUCCUGACGGGACACCACUGAAAUCAUGAUUUCCUACUGGGAUGGUCAGUGCAGCCUUCGUCUGAGUCUGUGUGAAUGUAGCGUCUGCGCCGGAGCUAGAAUCAGAGCUAUGGCGGGAAGCAUCCAGCGCCUGAUUGUAAAAUCUGAGCCGCGUCUGCGACCUACACCACAGCACACGGCAACACCAGGUCCUUAACCCACGGAGCGAGGCCAGGGAUCAAAGCCACAUCCUCACAGGGGCAACUUGUAUGUACGGUGAAAGAUCUGAGAGCUCCCUCGCCUGGCUCCCUUCACAGCUGGAGGCAGCCACGUGACCCACUGCCAGCUAUGGGCUCAUCCGCCGAAGUCUCAUGGAAGGUUUCUUGGAAAGCUUUCACUUCUUUAUAAAAGGAACAGAUAUUUUUGGGGCUGGCACACCUCCCCUGCCUUCCUGCCUUGACCAUGAACAUGCUCUUAGAGCUGCAGCAGCCGUCAAGGCCAGAAGGAAAGGCCAAGAGAAUCCCAGAAACGCUGUCCCUGCUGUAUUGAGCCGCCCGGCUCCCAUCUUUAGACACCUAAUUCUAGACUUCUCCUUUUGUGAGGAAAAUCGCCUUCGGGUUUGUUGAUGAUGCCGUUCAUGGAGUGCUGGAUUUCUUGCACCCUAAUGCAGUCUUUUUUGUUUUUUCUUCUUUUUAGGACCGCAUGUGUGGCAUAUGGACGUUCCCGGGCUAGGGGUUGAAUCAGAGCUGCACCUGCCGGCCACAGCCACAGCCGAAGCCAUGCGGGAUCCGAACUGCAUCUGCAACCUAUGCUGAAACUUUCAGCCAUGCAGGAUCCUUAAUCCAGAGUGAGGCCAGGGAUCGAACCUGCAUCCUUACAGACACUAUGCUGUGUUCCUAACUCGCUGAGCCACAAUGGGAAAUCCUCUAACGCAGUCGUACCUUGAUACAAUUGCUCAGGGUGCCCAGGUCGGUGGGGGCUGCACCCUCCCAGUCCUGUUCUUGCCCCUCCCUGAAUUCCGCAGCUUCACCCAAGCAGGAUGGACAAGGCCCCUUCAGGGACUCCUCCGACUUAAAGAUGAAGGAAUGCAUGAGGCCUCCGAGACCACAGGCCCGUCUUUAACCUACGUCACUCACCUUCCAGCCUCUGUCGCCUUCUUUCUCGCUUCGGACUUACACAGAGGACAAGCUCUGAAGGAAGAGGGUCAGAAUCUGUCCAGUUUUUUUUGGGGGGGGACAGCUCUCUGCUUCCCCUGUGAUUUACAUUUCUUCUUCAUCUUCUGUCUCGUUUUGUCUUAGAAAGCAAGCCUAUGAAGGAGUUCCCGUCGUGGCGCAGUGGUUAACGAAUCCGACUAGGAACCAUGAGGUUGCGGGUUCAAUCCCUGGCCUCGCUCAGUGGGUUAAUGAUCCGGCGUUGCCAUGAGCUGUGGCGUAGGUCGCAGACGUGGCUCGGAUCCCGCGUGGCUGUGGCAGGUGGUGUAGGCUGGCAGCCGUAGCUCCGAUUCAGUCCCUAGCCUGGGAACUUCCAUAUGCCGCAGGUGCGGCCCUAAGAAGCAAAAAAAAAAAAAAAAAAAAAAAAAAA